UCCCUGGUGGCUCAGACGGUAAAGCGUCUGUCUACAAUGCAAGAGACCUGGGUUCGAUUCCUGGGUUGGGAA
rfam:TPA: Bos taurus chromosome 10, whole genome shotgun sequence.